GAUGAACGCUGGCGGCGUGCCUAAUACAUGCAAGUCGAGCGAACGGACGAGAAGCUUGCUUCUCUGAUGUUAGCGGCGGACGGGUGAGUAACACGUGGAUAACCUACCUAUAAGACUGGGAUAACUUCGGGAAACCGGAGCUAAUACCGGAUAAUAUUUUGAACCGCAUGGUUCAAAAGUGAAAGACGGUCUUGCUGUCACUUAUAGAUGGAUCCGCGCUGCAUUAGCUAGUUGGUAAGGUAACGGCUUACCAAGGCAACGAUGCAUAGCCGACCUGAGAGGGUGAUCGGCCACACUGGAACUGAGACACGGUCCAGACUCCUACGGGAGGCAGCAGUAGGGAAUCUUCCGCAAUGGGCGAAAGCCUGACGGAGCGACGCCGCGUGAGUGAUGAAGGUCUUCGGAUCGUAAAACUCUGUUAUUAGGGAAGAACAGAUGUGUAAGUAACUGUGCACAUCUUGACGGUACCUAAUCAGAAAGCCACGGCUAACUACGUG
rnacentral:rRNA from 1 species